AUGCCGCCGCCGCCGGCUCCGGAUACAUCGGCGGCGCCUGAGGCGAGGGCGGAGAAUUUGGCGGCACCCACAGCACCGGAGGCGAGAGCAGGGAGUGUGACGGCAUCGGCGGCACCUGAGGUGAGAGCGGAGAGUGUGGCGGCAUCCGCGGCGUCUGAGGUGAGGGCGGAGAGUGUGACGGCAUCGGCGGCGCCUGAGGUGAGAGCGGCGAGUGCGACGCCAUCGGCCGCACCUGAGGUGAGAGUGGAGAAUUUGCCUGCGACUGCGCCUGCGCACCCGCAACCGGGGCCGAGGCCGAGGCGGCGGUGGUGGUCGGGGAUCCCGUGGACGAGGCUGGUGCUCGGAGGCCUGCUAGUGGCGGCGGUCGGCUAUGCCUUCUACAAAUGGGGGCUCCCCCUCUUAUCAGACAAGGUGCUCCUGCCGAUCAUGCGAUGGGAGGCGACAUCUUUCGGGCGCCCGGUGCUGGCCCUUGUGCUGGUCAUGUCCAUGUCCGUCUUCCCUACCGUGUUCCUGCCUUCUUUCCCGUCCAUGUGGUUGACAGGGAUAAUAUUCGGCUACGGCCUGGGCCUCUUGAUCAUCCUGGUUGGCACCGGCAUAGGCAUGUCCAUACCGUACUGGAUCGGCUCGCUGUUCCUCCAUCACAUUCAUGGAUGGUUAGAGAAGAAAUGGCCUCAGCAGAUGGCUCUGAUCAAACUGGCUGGGAGAGGGGGCUGGUUCCAGCAGUUCCGGGUGGUUGCGCUGUUACGACUCUCGCCGUUCCCUUAUGUGAUGCUCAACUAUGUUGCAACCGUCACCCAGAUCAAGUUCACCCCUUACAUUUGUGGCUCGGUUGUUGGAAUGGUACCUGACGCGUUGGUCAACAUCUACAGUGGCCGGCUGAUUCUCGCACUGGCGGACCUGAAGUAUGACCAGCGUCGGAUGACAACAGUGGAGAUAGUGUACAACGUCAUCUCUGCCAUCGUCGCCGUUCUUAUCGGGGUCGGGUUUACGGUCUACGCGAGAAGAGCCUUGGAUGGCAUACAAAGCGCGGAAGGCGCGCAGCAACCUGAACCUGCUGUCGUCCCUGCUGUCCCGGCGCCGGAGCUCAGUGAUCGCCAUCGAAGUUCCAGCUCUGUGCCAGUUGAUGUUGUGUAG
rnacentral:rRNA from 1 species